CUAAAAGUGCAUGUCUCAGGG
rnacentral:siRNA from 1 species